rnacentral:rRNA from 1 species
ACGAAAGCGUGGGGAGCGAACAGGAUUAGAUACCCUGGUAGUCCACGCCGUAAACGAUGCUAACUCGUUUUUGGUUUUUCGGAAUCAGAGACUAAGCGAAAGUGAUAAGUUAGCCACCUGGGGAGUACGAACGCAAGUCUGAAACUCAAAGGAAUUGACGGGGGCCCGCACAAGCGGUGGAUUAUGUGGUUUAAUUCGAUGAUACGCGAGGAACCUUACCAAGACUUAAAUGGGAAUUGACAGAUUUAGAAAUAGAUCCUCCUUCGGGCAAUUUUCAAGGUGCUGCAUGGUUGUCGUCAGCUCGUGCCGUGAGGCGUUAGGUUAAGUCCUGCAACGAGCGCAACCCCUGUCACUAGUUGCCAUCAUUCAGUUGGGGACUCUAGUGAGACUGCCUACGCAAGUAGAGAGGAAGGUGGGGAUGACGUCAAAUCAUCACGGCCCUUACGUCUUGGGCCACACACGUAAUACAAUGGCCGGUACAGAGGGCAGCUACGCAGCGAUGUGAUGCAAAUCUCGAAAGCCGGUCUCAGUUCGGAUUGGAGUCUGCAACUCGACUCUAUGAAGCUGGAAUCGCUAGUAAUCGCGCAUCAGCCAUGGCGCGGUGAAUACGUUCCCGGGCCUUGUACACACCGCCCGUCAAGCCAUGGAGGUCUGGGGUACCUGAAGUCGGGACCGUAACAGGAGCUGCCUAG